CCCAGCUCUGCCGUGGCACCGCCCUGCUCUCUGCCCGGGAUGCAGCCCUUGCCCAGGCGGGGCAGAGGGCGCAGGAACUAACGGCAGCACUGGAGGAGUACGAGCGGGUGGUGCAGGAAUCGCGUCUGGAGACAACACGGCUGCGGCAGCAGCUGGGCCAGCUGCGGGACGCCUGGG